UACGUAGGGUGCGAGCGUUAAUCGGAAUUACUGGGCGUAAAGCGCGCGUAGGCGGCUUUGCAAGUCGGGUGUGAAAUCCCCAGGCUUAACCUGGGAACUGCAUUCGAGACUGCAUUGCUAGAGUAUGGGAGAGGGAAGUGGAAUUUCCGGUGUAGCGGUGAAAUGCGUAGAUAUCGGAAGGAACAUCAGUGGCGAAAGCGACUUCCUGGACCAAUACUGACGCUCAUGUGCGAAAGCGUGGGGAGCAAACAGGG
rnacentral:rRNA from 1 species